rnacentral:rRNA from 1 species
AUGGCCGUCGCCGACGCGGUGCUGCCCUCGCCGCCGCCCCCGCCCCCGCCGGCGCGGGCCGUCGUCGUGCGCUUCGCCCUUGCCCUGAUGCUGGCGCUCGGGCUCGUCCUCUGCGUCGCGGCGGGAGCCCUCGCCUGCCUGGGCUUCGCCUCUGCGUGGGUCGCCUCCGCGGCCUCGGCUGCCAAGGUCGUGGCGCGCCGCGCCUGGGGCGAGGCCUCCGCUCCUUUCCUCUUCCUCCAGGCGCUCACGUACGGGGCCCUGAAGGUCUGCGUCUACAACUUUCUUGUGUUGCUCGCGCUUACCGUCCUGCAGCAGUUCGUGGCCUACGUGAUUGCAGUUGUAUCUGGAUCCACUUCAGGAUUCAAGAAGAAUUGCUGCCCUCCUCAGAGCGCCUUUGGAGCAAUGAGGCCGGAGUCGGUUGCACGCUUCUUUAGGCUUCUGCGCCCCAUUGUGCUUGGAUUUGUUGCAUAUGUGGCCUUCAUCCUGCUAGCGGUCGCUGGUUUUCUGGUAGCAAUGAUGUCGCCACAUGUGGAGGGAUCGAUGUCUCAGGGAGAAAUGGUGGGUUCGGUGAUCAUGGAUGUGGGGAUAUUUGGUUCGCACGCGACAGCUUGCUUUGUUAUGAUGCCAGCUCUCGUUCUUAGUCUCUGGAGGGAGUACCAGGCAAACAGGAAAGCACCAUCGCAGUUCUGUUGA